CUCCUCGUAGCUCAGCGGACAGAGCACCGGCCUCCGGAGCCGGGAGCGCAGGUUCGAUCCCUGCCGGGGAGA
rnacentral:tRNA from 1 species